GAUGAACGCUAGCGACAGGCCUAACACAUGCAAGUCGAGGGGCAGCGAGGAUGUAGCAAUACAUUUGUCGGCGACCGGCGCACGGGUGAGUAACACGUAUGCAACCUACCUACUACAGGGAGAUAGCCCGUUGAAAGACGGAUUAAUAUUCCAUAACACAGGGAUCCCGCAUGGGAAUAUUUGUUAAAGAUUUAUCGGUAGUAGAUGGGCAUGCGCUUCAUUAGCUAGUUGGCGAGGUAACGGCUCACCAAGGCAACGAUGAAUAGGGGAACUGAGAGGUUUAUCCCCCACACUGGUACUGAGACACGGACCAGACUCCUACGGGAGGCAGCAGUGAGGAAUAUUGGUCAAUGGACGCAAGUCUGAACCAGCCAAGUCGCGUGAAGGAAGACUGCCCUACGGGUUGUAAACUUCUUUUGUACAGGAAUAAAGUGAUCUACGAGUAGAUUUUUGCAAGUACUGUACGAAUAAGCAUCGGCUAACUCCGUGCCAGCCGCCGCCGUAACAC
rnacentral:rRNA from 1 species